rnacentral:lncRNA from 1 species
ACUUCCAAAAUUUAGGGAUCUUACUGAAUGAGCUCUGAGAUCCAAAUCCCUAGCUUUGCAAGAUUUGGUUGGGUUCUCUGCUACAUUCGAAUACUUUACCAUGUCUGUUGGGAGUUCAUUUUUUAAAGAAAAGUUGAGAGUAAAAAAAGUUUCUCUAGAAAGUUCCGUAUUUUCUUCCGAAAGUUGGAGGAGGACGCAACAACGGCAGAUGAGGACUAUGAUAUGGACGAUCGGAGGGUAAUUUGUAUUAUCAUUUAUUUUUUCGUAUUAUAGUAUUGAUUCUUUUUUAGUUGGUUCAUUGUUCAUGUAUUAGGGUUUACAUUUAUGUUAUAAUUCACCUAUUUAAACUCAGAAAUUAAACUAAUUUAAUGGAACUCAACAAUUUUUUGAGAAUUUUCUCGGGUUUGUAUUAAGCAAAAAUUGAUUUCUAUUACAAAAUAGAAAAUUGUUGCUACGAAAUGGUAAUAAUUGGAACAAAAAAUCUUCGUAGAUGAGAUGAACUCGUAACAUAUAAUAGAAGAAGAAGAGCUAAGUGAAAAUUAAGGAAGGUGAGAAAACUACCUAAUUGAUCAUGUCCUUCUUGCCCUUUUCGGAAUUUAGUUAUAGGAUGCUGACGUGCAAUCACAACCCUUCAACUUCAUUAACUCAAAUAAAAUCUCGUGCAUUCAUUUGUUAUAUUUCUAUUUGUCGUUUAUUUAUUCUUUCUCUUUAACUCAUUUAUUCAGGUCAUUACAAAAAUAUCAUUUUAAAUUUUUUUUAUCUUUUUGGGUCGAAAGACUGAAGACUCUUGUAGGAGAACUUUUUUAUCAAUAAAGAUUGACACCCCUUUAUUGAUUUCAACAAAAAGAAUAAAGUUGAGGGUUGGGGCUAAUAGAAUUUUGUCUACCUAUCCAUCCGUGUGAAAUAAUGAAAGAAUGUAACUAUACAAUCCAAGGUGGAACAAAGAGGAUUACUGAUGCCUUUAGCUGUCUGAUUCUGAUCGAAGCAAUUUUCCAUUUGUUAAAGUUGGGUUAGUCCUAUGUGAUCAGUAUUUAUAAACUUUCAAACCUCGUAGAAAUCAUAUUUUCUAGUACAUCAUGAAUGUUUGGUAGGUGUAGUCAUGAAUUUGAAGCUGGAGAAAUUUUGCAAGGUUGAGAGGUGCUUUGUAGUGGUCCUAGUAAAGAGGAUGCAAUUGCUGAAUUUCUUUCUACAUACUAAUUUUUCGUGAAUUAUUUUGUCUCUUAGCAAAGUUGGAGCAUUGUUGUAUUGUUUAAAUGUUCCUAGUUGCAGAGAGAUAACAUUCACUAGUGGAGAUAUGAACGAAGGGGUAGCAAUGUGGGUGGUUUGGGCUGAUUUAUUUUUUCUGAUGUGGUCGGAGCUUUACUCCAUUGCUUGAAAUAUGAUUAGCUAAUCACAUAAUGGAAUAUGCUUAACUUCAAGAAGUCAAGUAACUUCUUGGGCGUGAGUUGUUAUUAGUGAUGGAGGUGGUUAAGUGUCAGAUUAAGAUGAACUCAUGUGGCGCAAUUAGCUGAAAGAGUUAAAAUUGAAGUUCACUCGCUAGAGUUUCUUAAACACUGUUUUCUGAAGUACAUCUCCUUGACUAUUUGUAGGCUUGUGAAGAACUAUUUAACAACUGACUUAGUCUGCUAUGAAAUUACAAACUAGUUAUGAAGAACUAUUGUGAUGUAAAUUAAUGUUUAUGUGCUUCUUGAAGUGAUUAUUUUUAGUCUUCGCUUUCACAUGUUUGUGUUUUAUAUAGACUAUUGUUUCUUUUUACUCUCUUAAAAUAGUAAUUUAUUAUCGAUCAUCCCAAGGAAACACGAGAAAUUAUGGUCACAAUCGUUAUUGUUUUAUCUUCACUGUUUGUUUAUGUGUUACUCAAAACCUCCAAAAUUGUUGUUGCGCCUGUGUUGAAUCCUUAAAACAUGAUUAACUUUAUUAUGAUUUAUACACACUAGAUGACAUUUUUGAAGAGUUAAAUUUGAAUUACUUUCUUUUGUAGUUACAAAUCAUGACUUAAUUUUUUUGGUGCCUUCUCCUUUCAUAAUUUAAAUAACUAUAAUGCAAAUGCCUUCCCCUUUCUCCGAUCACAAAUCAAAGGUAGAACAUUGCUUAGUUGCUGCACUAUAUUGUGUGUUUUCUUCAUAGUUGACAUAAUAUAGUGUUGAUAUAAUGAAAAAACUAACUUCACUUAUCUUUAUCCUCUCAUCUCGGGUGUAGGUUACACUAGCAUGCACAACAUAAUUUAUCUAUGGCUCAAGGAAUUGAUCGGGUACGUGGAAGCCUAGAAAGAAUGGGAUAAUCAUUUUUGGAUGUUCGAAGGGCUCCCAAGUUCAAGCAAAAAGUCUACUAGAGAAGUGUAAGAAUAAUAUACAGUAGUUAAGCUAGAUAAAUCGAAGAUUGAUAUAUUUAUAUAUAUUUAAGUGAAGAGCCUUUUAA